rnacentral:lncRNA from 1 species
UUGCCACAUGUAAAUCCAGUAUAUUUCUUCUUUUUUUUUUUUCUAGUUUUUACGGUACGAGGUGUUUACGACGAUUUUGGUUACGAGGUGUUUACGACGAUUCCGUCCUACGUGGAAUUAAAGUGGGCCGCGUUCAUCAUUUACUUUACGUGGUAUUUAUGACGAAUCUCUCCUACGUGGUAUUUACGACGAAUCUGUCCUACGUGGUAUUUACGAGGAAUUCGUCGUAAGUUCGACGUUAACAUACGAGGAAUUAACGAGUAUUCCGUUUAAAUCCCUAAAAUCCGAAACCCCAAACCCCAAACUCCAUAUUCCUUAUCUUCUACUUCAUAUAUUCCAAACUCUAUCUUUAUUUUCAUUCCAAACCACAAUUCCUUAUUUUCAUUCACUCAGAGAGUCUUACGUGGAAUUAGCGUGCCCCGCUUUCUUUAUUUUUUUUAAUUUCGUCGUAAACUCCUUGUGGC